rnacentral:rRNA from 1 species
AUGAACGCUGGCGGCGUGCCUAAUACAUGCACGUCGAGCGAACGGACGAGAAGCUUGCUUCUCUGAUGUUAGCGGCGGACGGGUGAGUAACACGUGGAUAACCUACCUAUAAGACUGGGAUAACUUCGGGAAACCGGAGCUAAUACCGGAUAAUAUUUUGAACCGCAUGGUUCAAAAGUAAAAGACGGUCUUGCUGUCACUUAUAGAUGGAUCCGCGCUGCAUUAGCUAGUUGGUAAGGUAAAGGCUUACCAAGGCAACGAUGCAUAGCCGACCUGAGAGGGUGAUCGGCCACACUGGAACUGAGACACGGUCCAGACUCCUACGGGAGGCAGCAGUAGGGAAUCUUCCGCAAUGGGCGAAAGCCUGACGGAGCAACGCCGCGUGAGUGAUGAAGGUCUUCGGAUCGUAAAACUCUGUUAUUAGGGAAGAACAUAUGUGUAAGUAACUGUGCACAUCUUGACGGUACCUAAUCAGAAAGCCACGGCUAACUACGUG